rnacentral:lncRNA from 1 species
AGGGGCACUGAACAGUCAAAACAAUCUUGAAAAAGAAGAGCAAAGUUGAAUGACACACUACCUGAUUUCAAAAAUUGCAACAGAGCUACAGUAAUUAAAACAGUGUGGUACUGACAUAGUAUAGACUAAAGACCAAUGGAAUAGAAGAGCUUUGAAAAAAACAUUUACAUAUGGUGGGCAAUUGAUUUUUGACAAAAGUGCCAAGAAAAUUCAAUGGAGAAAGGAGAGUGUUUUCAAUAAAUGAUUCUGGGAAAAACUGAAUAUACACAUGCAAAAGAAUGAAGUUGAGGCUGGGUGCGGUGGCUCAUGCCUGUAAUCCCAGC